CUAGGGAACCGUUAGGGAUUAGGUGUAGCACCAAAUAUCUCCUUUGGCCCAUCUCUUCUUAAGCAUCCCAAAGGUUUCUGCUCUAUUACUCCAUGUCAUAUGCCUUACAGUUCAGGUUCCAGGGAGACAUAAGGAGACCUCACCUUUCCAGAGACUGAGCAGGCUGUAUAGGAAGCAUGAUUCUGGCAUCUGCUUGGCUUCUGGGAAGGCCUCAGGAAAAUUUUACUCAUGGCAGAAGGCAAAGCGGGCGCAGGAGCCUUCACAUGGCUGGAGCAGAAAAAAGAGAGGGCUUGAGGUUGGAGUGAGUGUUUUCAUACCCUUCCAUCCCUCACACCCCAUGAGGACACAGCAUUCAUCUUCCCUGGAGGAUGUAGCAACAAGCACCAUCUUGGAAGCAAAGACCGGGACCCUUAUCAGACAGUACCUUGAUCUAGAACUUCCCAG
rnacentral:lncRNA from 1 species